AGAGUUUGAUCAUGGCUCAGAUUGAACGCUGGCGGCAGGCCUAACACAUGCAAGUCGAACGGUAACAGGAAGCAGCUUGCUGCUUCGCUGACGAGUGGCGGACGGGUGAGUAAUGUCUGGGAAGCUGCCUGAUGGAGGGGGAUAACUACUGGAAACGGUAGCUAAUACCGCAUAAUGUCGCAAGACCAAAGAGGGGGACCUUCGGGCCUCUUGCCAUCGGAUGUGCCCAGAUGGGAUUAGCUUGUUGGUGGGGUAACGGCUCACCAAGGCGACGAUCCCUAGCUGGUCUGAGAGGAUGACCAGCCACACUGGAACUGAGACACGGUCCAGACUCCUACGGGAGGCAGCAGUGGGGAAUAUUGCACAAUGGGCGCAAGCCUGAUGCAGCCAUGCCGCGUGUAUGAAGAAGGCCUUCGGGUUGUAAAGUACUUUCAGCGGGGAGGAAGGGAGUAAAGUUAAUACCUUUGCUCAUUGACGUUACCCGCAGAAGAAGCACCGGCUAACUCCGUGCCAGCAGCCGCGGUAAUACGGAGGGUGCAAGCGUUAAUCGGAAUUACUGGGCGUAAAGCGCACGCAGGCGGUUUGUUAAGUCAGAUGUGAAAUCCCCGGGCUCAACCUGGGAACUGCAUCUGAUACUGGCAAGCUUGAGUCUCGUAGAGGGGGGUAGAAUUCCAGGUGUAGCGGUGAAAUGCGUAGAGAUCUGGAGGAAUACCGGUGGCGAAGGCGGCCCCCUGGACGAAGACUGACGCUCAGGUGCGAAAGCGUGGGGAGCAAACAGGAUUAGAUACCCUGGUAGUCCACGCCGUAAACGAUGUCGACUUGGAGGUUGUGCCCUUGAGGCGUGGCUUCCGGAGCUAACGCGUUAAGUCGACCGCCUGGGGAGUACGGCCGCAAGGUUAAAACUCAAAUGAAUUGACGGGGGCCCGCACAAGCGGUGGAGCAUGUGGUUUAAUUCGAUGCAACGCGAAGAACCUUACCUGGUCUUGACAUCCACGGAAGUUUUCAGAGAUGAGAAUGUGCCUUCGGGAACCGUGAGACAGGUGCUGCAUGGCUGUCGUCAGCUCGUGUUGUGAAAUGUUGGGUUAAGUCCCGCAACGAGCGCAACCCUUAUCCUUUGUUGCCAGCGGUCCGGCCGGGAACUCAAAGGAGACUGCCAGUGAUAAACUGGAGGAAGGUGGGGAUGACGUCAAGUCAUCAUGGCCCUUACGACCAGGGCUACACACGUGCUACAAUGGCGCAUACAAAGAGAAGCGACCUCGCGAGAGCAAGCGGACCUCAUAAAGUGCGUCGUAGUCCGGAUUGGAGUCUGCAACUCGACUCCAUGAAGUCGGAAUCGCUAGUAAUCGUGGAUCAGAAUGCCACGGUGAAUACGUUCCCGGGCCUUGUACACACCGCCCGUCACACCCUGGGAGUGGGUUGCAAAAGAAGUAGGUAGCUUAACCUUCGGGAGGGCGCUUACCACUUUGUGAUUCAUGACUGGGGUGAAGUCGUAACAAGGUAACCGUAGGGGAACCUGCGGUUG
rnacentral:rRNA from 1 species